rnacentral:tRNA from 1 species
GCCCGGCUAGCUCAGUCGGUAGAGCAUGGUACUCUUAAUUCCAGGGUAGUGGGUUCGAGCCCCACGUUGGGCG